rnacentral:lncRNA from 1 species
UUAUAAGGUUUCCAGAACCUGGGAUUUGAGAGUGUAUGUUGUUAUAUUUCGGUAUACAAUGAUGUAUGUUGGAUGAAGGAUGUACUCGUGACGUACGGAAUCCGGGUGUGAAGAUAGACCGGAUUUUGGGUGUUACAAGUUGGUAUUAGAGCUUAUAUGUUAUAAACCUUAGGUAGGAGUACCUAAGACUAUAAUCGUAGAGAGAAGGAUAAGAAGAUCACCACGUGAUCAUAGUGACUCGUAGUAACAGAUGGGUUGUUAAACAAUGAAUGAUUUAUAGCUAGUGCUAUGAAUGAAGGUACUAUGAAGUAGUACGGGAAGAAGAACUCAGAUUGAGUUAUGAAGGAUAGUAUAUGAAUUAAAGAAAAUUCGUAUUAAGUAGAGAGAGAUUUAGAAGUUGUAAAAUUUCAAUUGAGGACUCAUGUGAUAGCUGAGUUGUAUGAACCUUUGUUAUGGGCAGAGGUUUGUGCUUGGUGUAACAACUGCUUAGCUUAUUACAGUGAUAAUCAUUGGAAUUGGUCGCGCUAUCAAGAUGUAUAUUGUAGCAGCCCCGAAUCCGGGUCCCGAAUCGCCACGGAUCCGGUUCGCUAUUUCUACAACUGUUGCGGAAGAUAUAAACAUAAAUUGUUUAUACAUUACAUUUUACAUAAUAUUCCCCAAAAUCGAGUAACCUUAACUAAUACACAAAUCAUAAACUAUACUAUUACAAACUAUACCAUUACAAUCUAGCUGCACAUUCUAU